AGUGAACGCUGGCGGCAGGCCUAACACAUGCAAGUCGAGCGGCAGCGCGGGGGCAACCCUGGCGGCGAGCGGCGGACGGGUGAGGAAUUCGUCGGAAUCUGCCUUUUUGUGGGGGAUAACGUAGGGAAACUUACGCUAAUACCGCAUACGUCCUACGGGAGAAAGUUGGGGACCGCAAGGCCUCACGCAGAAAGAUGAGCCGACGACCGAUUAGCUAGUUUGUGGGGUAAAGGCCCACCAAGGCGACGAUCGGUAGCUGGUCUGAGAGGAUGAUCAGCCACCCUGGGACUGAGACACGGACCAGACUCCUACGGGAGGCAGCAGUGGGGAAUAUUGGACAAUGGGCGCAAGCCUGAUCCAGCCAUGCCGCGUGUGUGAAGAAGGCCUUCGGGUUGUAAAGAACUUUUGUCCGGAAAGAAAUCCCUGGAGCUAAUACCUUCGGGGGAUGACGGUACCGGAAGAAUAAGCACCGGCUAACUUCGUG
rnacentral:rRNA from 1 species